GCUAAAAAUCAGCCUCAGCGGCUGGGAGACUUGGCUGCUUUAGCUGUGUUUGGACAAGGACUACAUAUUAAGAAACGCGAUUUACCGCCGGUGAUUAAAAAUAUUCUAGAAAGUUAUACUCGCUGUGACUGUUGUGACGGUCCAAUGUUUGGUCGCGGAGUAAGGGUAAUCAAAGCCCCGUCCUCCAUCUUUGGCGUUAAAAAUCUUCCAUUUCUCUUCAACGCCUGUACACAGACUUGUAGGCGGCAGUUCAGUAGAGCUUCUGACUCGCUUAAACUCUGGAUGCAAAGGAACGCACCGCAUACUUUAACAGAGUUAUAGAAAUAAGACUUCGAGCCAAAUGCGUCCAUAAGAAAUACUGUGAUUAAUUAUAUAUGUGACGAGUUAGGUGGAUUCACAAAGUGAAGAUCUUUCUCUGGUGAAGUUGCAUAUUGGCUGCGAUAUAUUUUCAUGGACAAAAAGUUGAGUUACAACGUAAGCAAAUAUUGACGGACCUUCUGAAGGACCAACGUCACCAGUUUUCCAUCAUGGAAAAUUAAGCUAAAUCCGUCUUAAUCUUCUCCAACUUCAACCAUCCUUGUUUCUGUUUUAAUUAAGCUUCCCAUCUGGUA